rnacentral:rRNA from 1 species
UACGUAGGGUGCAAGCGUUGUCCGGAAUUACUGGGCGUAAAGCGUGCGCAGGCGGUUCGUUAAGUCAGCUGUGAAAGCCCCGGGCUUAACCUGGGAAUGGCGGUUGAAACUGGCGAACUUGAAUCUGGCAGAGGGGGGUGGAAUUCCACGUGUAGCAGUGAAAUGCGUAGAGAUGUGGAGGAACACCGAUGGCGAAGGCAGCCUCCUGGGCCAACACUGACGCUCAUGCACGAAAGCGUGGGGAGCAAACAGG